rnacentral:rRNA from 1 species
AGAGUUUGAUCCUGGCUCAGAUUGAACGCUGGCGGCAGGCCUAACACAUGCAAGUCGAGCGGUAGCACAGAGAGCUUGCUCUCGGGUGACGAGCGGCGGACGGGUGAGUAAUGUCUGGGAAACUGCCUGAUGGAGGGGGAUAACUACUGGAAACGGUAGCUAAUACCGCAUAACGUCGCAAGACCAAAGUGGGGGACCUUCGGGCCUCAUGCCAUCAGAUGUGCCCAGAUGGGAUUAGCUAGUAGGUGGGGUAACGGCUCACCUAGGCGACGAUCCCUAGCUGGUCUGAGAGGAUGACCAGCCACACUGGAACUGAGACACGGUCCAGACUCCUACGGGAGGCAGCAGUGGGGAAUAUUGCACAAUGGGCGCAAGCCUGAUGCAGCCAUGCCGCGUGUGUGAAGAAGGCCUUCGGGUUGUAAAGCACUUUCAGCGGGGAGGAAGGCUGUGAGGUUAAUAACCUCACCGAUUGACGUUACCCGCAGAAGAAGCACCGGCUAACUCCGUGCCAGCAGCCGCGGUAAUACGGAGGGUGCAAGCGUUAAUCGGAAUUACUGGGCGUAAAGCGCACGCAGGCGGUCUGUCAAGUCGGAUGUGAAAUCCCCGGGCUCAACCUGGGAACUGCAUUCGAAACUGGCAGGCUAGAGUCUUGUAGAGGGGGGUAGAAUUCCAGGUGUAGCGGUGAAAUGCGUAGAGAUCUGGAGGAAUACCGGUGGCGAAGGCGGCCCCCUGGACAAAGACUGACGCUCAGGUGCGAAAGCGUGGGGAGCAAACAGGAUUAGAUACCCUGGUAGUCCACGCUGUAAACGAUGUCGAUUUGGAGGUUGUGCCCUUGAGGCGUGGCUUCCGGAGCUAACGCGUUAAAUCGACCGCCUGGGGAGUACGGCCGCAAGGUUAAAACUCAAAUGAAUUGAUGGGGGCCCGCACAAGCGGUGGAGCAUGUGGUUUAAUUCGAUGCAACGCGAAGAACCUUACCUGGUCUUGACAUCCACAGAACUUUCCAGAGAUGGAUUGGUGCCUUCGGGAACUGUGAGACAGGUGCUGCAUGGCUGUCGUCAGCUCGUGUUGUGAAAUGUUGGGUUAAGUCCCGCAACGAGCGCAACCCUUAUCCUUUGUUGCCAGCGGUCCGGCCGGGAACUCAAAGGAGACUGCCAGUGAUAAACUGGAGGAAGGUGGGGAUGACGUCAAGUCAUCAUGGCCCUUACGACCAGGGCUACACACGUGCUACAAUGGCAUAUACAAAGAGAAGCGACCUCGCGAGAGCAAGCGGACCUCAUAAAGUAUGUCGUAGUCCGGAUUGGAGUCUGCAACUCGACUCCAUGAAGUCGGAAUCGCUAGUAAUCGUAGAUCAGAAUGCUACGGUGAAUACGUUCCCGGGCCUUGUACACACCGCCCGUCACACCAUGGGAGUGGGUUGCAAAAGAAGUAGGUAGCUUAACCUUCGGGAGGGCGCUUACCACUUUGUGAUUCAUGACUGGGGUGAAGUCGUAACAAGGUA